rnacentral:lncRNA from 1 species
CGCCGCCGCCGCUGGUUUUGGUGCCGUUUGCCCCGGGGCGGCGGCAGCUCGGCUGUGGGGUCGGUGCUGCUGCGAGCCGCCGCGUCCCUCCCUUCCUGCCGGAGCUAAACGGGAAACGUGGGCGUUUUUUGCAUCUGUGAUCCGAAGGGCUUCGCCAAGCUCAUCUUCAUGUGGGCUCUGAAGAGAGGAGGCUGUGGAAGGGAGGGAGGGAGGACGGACAUAGCAGAGCCUGGAAAAACCGCGAAGUGGGAGUUUCGGCUUGGGAACGGAGCCCCGGACGGAAUGUGAGGAGGGGCGGUGUUAGCUGGAGCGUGUCCAUCUGAGAAGGCAGCUGUUCGUGCGUGUUAAAGUGUGAAACCCGGGGAGGAAGAAGCACAAAUCCAAAACAUAGCUCCUCACUGAGCCCCUGUGAAGAAAAUUUACUCUGGCCCAACCAAAACCAGCAAGACUGCCAGUCCUGAGUGUCCUUGAGGAGCCCAUGAUAUGUGGACAAAUGGAUUUCAGAUGUUUCUACCAGUUCUGUCUGUGAUGGUGGCAAUAUUUUUCUUCCUAGUUUUAGCUCCUGUAGCCUCGUCUCCAAACCUGCAACAUGUUUACACUUUCUUCUUUAUGCUGAGAAGUCUUAUUGUUUAUCUGCCUUUUAUACAUUUUAAAUUGCAUUUUGCAUUUCUUGAUAAAAUUACUAACUACUUAGAGCUCCUGCUAAAAAUCUCUCCUGCUGGUGGAUCUGCAGAGGGUAGAUGUGAAUAGUGUUUAAUCCCAGUAUAACUAAGAGCCAGCAGAGGAUUUUGUUGAACUGAGAGCAUAAAAGGUACAAGUUACAUGUGAUAUCCAUGUGUGCAUGUAUGUGUGAGUAUAUAUAUAGAUGAAUGUACAUGUAUUGCAUACCUUUAUAUGUGUAUAAAUAUAUAUUUAUAAAAGUAUAGGCAUUAGCAUAGGGAGUUAGUAUGUAUAUAUUUUUGUCUCUUUGUAUACAUACCUAUACAUAAAUGUAUAUGCAUGGCAAUUUAGUAAGUGCAGAGUCUCGUCUAAACUUAUAAAAUCUGAAAAAUGCUCUCUUGUCCUAAAGGCAGUUAAAAUAACAAAUAAGACUGGAUUACAACACAAGUAAUUAUCAGUAUUAUCAUAUAAUAAAUGAGUAAAUAAAUACUUAACA